UACGGAAGGUCCGGGCGUUAUCCGGAUUUAUUGGGUUUAAAGGGAGCGCAGGCGGAGAUGCAAGCGUGACGUCAAAUUUCGGGGCUCAACCCCGUCUCGCGUCGCGAACUGCGUCCCUUGGUUGCGGGAAGGGGAGGCGGAACUCGUGGUGUAGCGGUGAAAUGCAUAGAUAUCACGAAGAACUCCGAUCGCGAAGGCAGCCUUCCGGCCCGUCAACGACGCUCAUGCUCGAAGGUGCGGGUAUCAAACAGG
rnacentral:rRNA from 2 species